rnacentral:tRNA from 1 species
CGGUCCGCGGGGCCCCGGUCCGCGGCGCCGGGUCCGUUUCGGCCGGUCUGCGGGGCCCGGAUCCGCGGCGCCGGGUCUGUUUCGGCCGGUCUGC